rnacentral:rRNA from 1 species
UACGGAGGGUGCAAGCGUUAACCGGAAUUACUGGGCGUAAAGCGCGCGCAGGCGGUUCUGUAAGUCCGUUGUGAAAGCCCCGAGCUCAACUUGGGAAUGGCAGUGGAUACUGGCAGGCUGGAGUACGGUAGAGGAAGGUGGAAUUCCCGGUGUAGCAGUGAAAUGCGUAGAUAUCGGGAGGAACACCAGUGGCGAAGGCGGCCUUCUGGACCAGUACUGACGCUCAUGCACGAAAGCGUGGGGAGCAAACAGG